GUUUUAAUGCCAGGGAAUACUCAAAGGCAGAUGUUGUUAACUCUGGUGUAAGAAAUGACCAUCAGGAGCUGGGUGUGGUGGCACACUCCUGUAAUCCCAGCAGCUUAGGAAGUUGAGACAGGAGGAUUGAAAAUUCAAAGCCAGCCUCAUCUAAAAGUGAGGCACUAAGCAACUCAGUGAUAUCCUGUCUUUAAAUAAAAUACAAAAUAGGGCUCAGGUUCAGUGGUCAAAUGCCCCUGAGUUCAAUCCCUGGUUCCCCCACCCCUAGGAGGAGGAGGAGGAGGAGAAGAAUAAGAAUGAGAAGAAGAAGAAAUGACCAUCAAGAACUUCACCAUGCAGACACUCUGAUUGAAUAUGUUCACUUUUGUGGCCAGAUGUCUAGGUAUUUAUAGAUAUCCACAGGUAGAUAUGAUGAUAAAUGAGGCUGAGGACAAAUACUCUUUGCAAAUUAAAAGAAUUAAAUAAAAUAUAUUUUUUACAACAAGCCUCUAAGGUAGGUAAUUAUUAUCCCUGUUGUACAGAUGAAGAAGCUGUCAGAACAUUUUCAUAGUUUCUGUAUUUUUUUCACCUUUUUCCUUUUAAGUCAUAGUCUGAUUGGAUAAAAUAAUAAACCUAAGGGUAGUUGAAGUGAGAGAAUUGCAAACCAUGUAUCAGGAAGAACUGGCCAGAAAUGCAAUAAACCCGUCAUAAGGUUGGGACUCAAAAUGCACUUUGUGAUCUUCACUGCUGCUAAAGUCCUCCACUUUUAAAACUUGGGUGAAGCUUUCAGAAACCAUCUGUCUGUGUGUAAAGGCCAUUAUUGACCACAGAAUAAAGGGGAAAAGCAAGGAUAUGUCUUCCACCUGAUAUACUUUACGGGGACUGAAAUGGGUUGAUAAAAAUAAGCCUGUAUAAAGUAUUUCAAACUGUUUCUUCAUACUUUAGAAUUUUGUAUUCACCGGUAGGUGCACCAUACACUAAAGUCACCUUAAUGUUAAUAGAUGUAAGAUAUGCAUUUAACUAAGCCAUUUUUUUAAAUGUUGAUAUCCACCACCACAAAAAA
rnacentral:lncRNA from 1 species